rnacentral:rRNA from 1 species
AUUGAACGCUGGCGGCAGGCCUAAUACAUGCAAGUCGAACGGUAACAGGAAGAAGCUUGCUUCUUUGCUGACGAGUGGCGGACGGGUGAGUAAUGUCUGGGAAACUGCCUGAUGGAGGGGGAUAACUACUGGAAACGGUAGCUAAUACCGCAUAACGUCGCAAGACCAAAAAGGGGGACCUUCGGGCCUCUUGCCAUCGGAUGUGCCCAGAUGGGAUUAGCUAGUAGGUGGGGUAACGGCUCACCUAGGCGACGAUCCCUAGCUGGUCUGAGAGGAUGACCAGCCACACUGGAACUGAGACACGGUCCAGACUCCUACGGGAGGCAGCAGUGGGGAAUAUUGCACAAUGGGCGCAAGCCUGAUGCAGCCAUGCCGCGUGUAUGAAGAAGGCCUUCGGGUUGUAAAGUACUUUCAGCGGGGAGGAAGGGAGUAAAGUUAAUACCUUUGCUCAUUGACGUUACCCGCAGAAGAAGCACCGGCUAACUCCGUG